UCACCAUGGGCGGACGCAGACCUCCACGCCGCGACACUUGAACUUGCCUUUUUUGCGUUGACCUCCUCGCAGCUGUGCCUGUUCUGGAAAUGGAUGAGGAAUGCUUCAGGACGAUGCCUAGUGACGUCAACGUCGCCCGAGUGUAGCCUGAAGUCCGCGAUGAGGGCCUCCUCUAGGUGAUGCACCGUGGUGUUGGGCGGAUCCCUCCUAG
rnacentral:lncRNA from 1 species